CUCAUGCAUUCUUGCCUGUUCUAUGCGCGAGGCUUCCACAGUUGCCUGCAACGAACGCAUCAUCUCUGCCAUCUGUGCCAUGGUCAUGGCAGCGGCGCCUUCAGCAGCGACGGGCGCAACUGGACUUGAACGAUUGCUUCUCAUUUUUCUCAUGAAACUCAGCGAAUCACAGAAUGCAGCGAACGACACUUACUUCAGCUACGAUCGACUCAGCG
rnacentral:lncRNA from 1 species